GCCAGGGCUGUGGUGCGCCUGCACGUCACGGCUACUCAAACCCAGGCACGUCCCGAAAGCGGUAUUUUCUGCGUCUGGGAGGUUUUUGCGUCCUCAGUUCCCACCGCUGGGUCUGGCGGCGACCAACUCACGGACCCUUCGCAGUGGGAGAGCUGUCAUUUCAGCACCAGGAUUCAGAAUUGAUCUAGUCCGCAGCAGAGGGGCACAUCUCAGCUCCCAUUAGCUGAGGGUCUCCGCCUGGAACAAUAGUAGUUUUUCUCAGCAAGGCUGCAAUUAACAUCUUAUUUGUUCUGGCUCCCAGGCUUUGUCGGGACUGCGGUGCAGCGACCGAGUUUCCCUAGUAACAAGUUUGGGGAAUGGAUGGGAAGAAACACGGGAAAAGCAAGAGAAGAACCUGAUUCUCCAUGUAAGAGGAAAGGAAGAGAUAAAUUUCCACAUGCCCCUACCUUUUUAUUAUUUAUUUGUUUAGCCUCGUGAACAGUAGGUUGAUGAUGUAUUUGAUGAACUAACUUCAGAUACCUGCUGCAAAAAUGUCAUUGGACUCCUUACUAUUUCUCUACUUGUAGACUCACUUGGUGGUUUACAAAACAAGUGCUAAAAUAGUGCAGUGAUGUGGUGGGAGGAGACCAUAAAGGGUAAUUCAUUUCAAGUGUGGAGUCUUCCUAAGGGUGAGUUGCUGGAGCGACAGGUGAAGUUGAAUAAAGCAAUUUCCCAUCAUUUUCUCUCCUAAAUCUUCUGCAUUUUUUAUUCCUUUUUUUGUUCCUCUUCCCUGGGGUGAUUGUGUAGCCAAGAACAAGAUUUUUUUAAAAAGGUUAUAGUGAAAACAGGAAGGUGCCAGAUGAUCUUUUAUUCACCAGAGUUGUUUGAAAUAUUAAAAUUGGCUCUUUACUUCUUAAUACAUAUUAAUAGAAUGACCCUCUUCAAGGCUUUUUCUUCUAGGAUGAGUGUUCAAAGUAAAACCCUGGGAGGGAAACGUUAAUCAUUCCCCAGCUGGCUUUAAGGGUGUUUGCAGGAAGAAAUCACCAGUGAGGGGAAGCUUGGGUGGCAUUUUUGUUUUAUGUCAGUUUUGGUUCGUUACAACAUUUUUUAUUCAUUUAAACUAACGUGCAAAGAAAAUAAGGUUUAUACGUCCAGGGCAAAAUCCAAAACACUGUAAAACAAACACAUUUUCUUUAAAAACAACAUUCAGCAAUACAAAGAAGAAACACAUUUUAUUUAUUUCAACUUCCAGAGA